rnacentral:rRNA from 1 species
UACGUAGGGUGCGAGCGUUAAUCGGAAUUACUGGGCGUAAAGCGUGCGCAGGCGGUUAUGCAAGACAGAUGUGAAAUCCCCGGGCUCAACCUGGGAACUGCAUUUGUGACUGCAUAGCUAGAGUGCGGCAGAGGGGGAUGGAAUUCCGCGUGUAGCAGUGAAAUGCGUAGAUAUGCGGAGGAACACCGAUGGCGAAGGCAAUCCCCUGGGCCUGCACUGACGCUCAUGCACGAAAGCGUAAAAAGCAAAC